AACGAACGCUGGCGGCAUGCCCAACACAUGCAAGUCGAACGAGACCUUCGGGUCUAGUGGCGCACGGGUGCGUCACGCGUGGGAACCUGCCUUUAGGCUCGGAAUACCUCAGAGAAAUUUGAGCUAAUACCGGAUGAUGUCUUCGGACCAAAGAUUUAUCGCCCUUAGAUGGGCCCGCGUUGGAUUAGCUAGUCGGUGGGGUAAAGGCCUACCAAGGCGACGAUCCAUAGCUGGUCUGAGAGGAUGAUCAGCCACACUGGGACUGGGACGCGGCCCAGACUCCUACGGGAGGCAGCAGUGGGGAAUAUUGGACAAUGGGGGAAAGGCUGAUCGAGCAAUGCCGCGUGAGUGAUGAAGGCCGUAGGGUUGUAAAGCUCUUUUACCCGAGAUGAUAAUGACAGUAUCGGGAGAAUAAGCUCCGGCUAACUCCGUG
rnacentral:rRNA from 1 species